AGUCAACCUGCCCUGGAGACAAGGACAACCCCGGGAAACUGGGAUUAAUCCUUGAUAGGUCAUCUCAUCUGGAAGGAGAGAUGGCUUAGAGGGGUACGCGGGCUUCUUCCGCGAAUCUGCUCCAGGAUGGGACUGCGUCCGAUCAGGCUGUUGGCGGGGUAAUGGCCCACCAAACCUGUAACCGGUACGGGCCUUGAGAGAGGUGGCCCGGAGAUGGACACUGAGAGAAGGGUCCAGGUCCUACGGGGCGCAGCAGGCGCGAAACCUUCGCAAUGCGCGAAAGCGUGACGAGGUUAAUCCGAGUGACUCCCGCUGAGGGGGUCUUUUGUCAGCUGUAAAUAGGCAGGCGAAUAAGGGGAGGGCAAGCCUGGUGUCAGCCGCCGCGGUAAUACCAGCUCCUCGAGUGGUCGGGGCGAUUAUUGGGCCUAAAGCAUCCGUAGCCGGUUCCGUAGGUCCUCUGUUAAAUCCAACCGCUUAACGGUUGACCUGCAGAGGAUACCGCGGGACUAGGAGGCGGGAGAGGCGGACGGUACUCCGCGUGUAGGGGUAAAAUCCUUUGAUCCGCGGAAGACCACCAGUGGCGAAGGCGGUCCGCCAGAACGCGCUCGACGGUGAGGGAUGAAAGCUGGGGGAGCGAACCGGAUUAGAUACCCGGGUAGUCCCAGCCGUAAACGAUGCUAGCUAGAUGAUUCAUUCGCAAGUCGCGAAUGAAGUGUCGCAGGGAAGCCGUUAAGCUAGCCGCCUGGGGAGUACGGUCGCAAGACUGAAACUUAA
rnacentral:rRNA from 1 species